UGCGGCCGGCCGCCCCGCCGACUGACAGCCCGCGCCCGCCACUCGCCGCGCCCGGCGCCGUCGCGUCGGCCUCCUCCCGCCCAAUCAGCGCCCGGCCCGAGGUCCUCGCCGGGGGGCGGGACUAUGCUGAUCACGGCGCCGGAGCGGCCCCGCCCUCCGCCCCCUGGGAGUCCAGCCCACACGGAGAAAUGACGAGGGGGGCGACCAAUCAAGGAAGGGAGAGGCGGGGAUAUGCAGAUAUUGACCCGAGAGGGGCGGGCGGGCGGAAGGGGCGUGGCUGGGUGAGCUGAGUUUACAAACAGCGAGUCAGGUGGCCAGGGUGCGGGUGCUCGGCGCGCUGCGGCCCCUGCGGCAGCCGCUCCCGACCCCCGGGGACGGGCGGAGGCUGGAGUCUCCCUCCUAAAGCUGCCUUCCUCAGCUCCAGCGUCUUGCAGGGCUUCCCACCGUCCACCCUCCGUGCCACGCCUUUCACCAUUCACCGAAACCCGGCGCCAGUUUACCCUCCGUCCGCACCCCUGACCGUUCACUCCCUUCUUUAAAACCUUUGGGGGCGCUUACUGACUUGUCGUGGCUCCAUGGUUAAGCCCAGAAGCUCUGGAGUCAGACUCGAGCUUGCAUCCUUACCAGCUGUGUGGCCGUGGGCAAGUAAACUAACCUCUCUGAGCCUAUAAGUACCAAGAUUUUCCUUUGUGAACCCGCUUUCUCCCACCCAAUCCCAUUUAAGUCUCGGGUCCGGUUUGGGGUGGGUGGAGGAACAUGAAUCAGGCUGCCUGGGGAGAGUCAUAGCGCGUGGCUCCGGGGUGAGCAGGUGACCCUGUACUGGCCAGGUUGGGUCAGCCCUGGGACUUUUGCUGGGGGUCAGAGAGCUCAGGCCACAGGGAAAGCUGAGGUCAAACGACUCUCCCAUCUGCCCACAGACCUCCACAGAACUGGGCUAGGUGACAGAAAGAUGUUGCAAUAAGUCUGAGGCCACUGAUGGGCAUUUUGUCACCACGAGGGGCGGGGGCACCUGGGAAUGAGACCAACCCAGAAGAAAGCAAGAGGAAAUAGAGGUUUAUGAGUCACCUGGAGCCAGCUGCACCCUCAGCAAGCUCUAUCCUAGAUUUUUCAGUAAUGCGCGUUACCACGUUUUCCUCUCUCAGCCAGUUUGAGGUGGUGCUAAAGAACUACUGGGACCCUGGAGCCGCAAGACCACCCGGCUCAUAAGGCACAUUGUGAGGCCCCCGCUCCUCCCCGCGUCUUCCACGCAGCUCUCCCUCCUCAGGACGUGGCCCCAUUUCCAGAGGGGGUGCGGGGGACUGGACCGCGCGUGCCUUGAGGGCGGGGCAGGCCUUGGCCACCUCUGCAGCCAGUGCAGAUGAAGGUGCCUCCUGUAAACAGUGGAGCAGAAGCACGUGCGGCAGGGCUAGGGCCCAGGCUGCAUUUCUGGGCCCAGAAAGCCAGUCAGCCCCAUGCCAGGGUCUGGCCCCAGCUCACCGGUGGGCCACUGUCAGCGGGCGCCAGAGACGUGCCGAGACUGAGAAGGAGCGCUCCCAGCCUCUGCUGGAGAGGAAAGCCGGGAGGGAGGCAGAGCCAGGGCUCGGAAACAAAGGCAUUGCCAUGGUUACCUCUGAAGAAACCGACUCCAGCAAGAGAGGGAAGGGUGCAGCCUGCAGGCUCCCAAGCCAGGACAAGGACAAGGCCGGUUGCCACAGAGACGCUCUGCAGCUUCCCUCGUGGGCCCGGCCUGAGUCCAGCUCAGGUUCCCUCACCCGGACAGGCCUCUGAGACUGACCCUCACACACAGGACAUGCCCCUGAGGAAUGCAACGUGCUGGCCCACCCCUUGGCUGUGAGCUCCGGGGUCAAGAGGCCAAUGCCAGAGGGAAAAUUCUCCAGGAACGGGAUGAAAGAUGGGAGCAGAAAAGCAGACACAGAGGGUUUGGGACCCGGCAGUAAUGAUGAGAACGGUGCUGACAGGUGGCGCUGCCCCGCGCUCGUGCUUUACGUCUAGUUUCAUGUCUGCAACCUCCAAUCAAAUAGGUACCAGGCGGCAUCAUCCCCACUUUACAGAUGAGCAAACUGAGCCUCAAGCAGGGGAAGUGACUCACCCGGGACCUGCAAUGAGGAAGAGGCCCAGACGCGGUGCAUUCCUGCCACCCAGCAGCCUGGCACGGCCCAGGAGCUUGUCAGAGAGGCAGAGCCCUGCCCAGACCUCCCAGACCAGGAUCGGCAUCUGAAACAGGUGCCCAGCUUUCACAUCUCCUCUGCAACGUGACAGCACUCGGCUUCCCUGCCGUCGGAGAAGAGUAUUUUUAGUUUUGAACCCACCACGUGGAAAGAGACAAGUUAUCAAUAGCAGCGGCAAAGGGCUUUUUCUUUUUUUCCCCGUGGCUUUGGGACCUGAGCAAUCUGCACCUGUUAAAUUCUGCCAAAAGAGAAAAAAUGUAUUCCUCUUCUAAACUUUUUACCCAGUGCCUUCCUCACUGCUGCAGCUUUGCAAACCAACUCUUCCCAGGUGGAUCCCACCCCAUUCAGCCGCGCUCCGCCCCCUGGCCCCUGGCCCCUGCGGGAGACCACUCUGCCCCACGAAGGGACCCACGGACGCAGAGAGAAAGGGCAGGGCGGGGGCUGCGGCCCUGGAACACGCAGGAAUGAGGGGCCGGAUGGGAGGAGUGACUUCCAUGCUCAGAGUUGGUGUGGGCCCCACUUCGAGCUUCAGUAGCAGCCCUAGCAUUUAUUGAGCACCUACUGUGUGCCUGGCCCUGGGCUGAGUACCUUUGAGUGCAUUGUCUCAGUUAAAUGCCCUAAUCAUCCUCUGAAGAGUUUCCCAAAUGAGGUACCGUGGAAUCCCAAGGCCUUUCUGGCUGCUGUUAGGUGUUUCUAGAGGAAAGGGUUCCACAGUCAAGAGGGUUUGGGAAUGCUGUUUAAAUAAAGCCAACAAGUGUCCCACUUCUCUGGUCCCUUCCCACUCUAGUAUACGUGGGAUCGUCCAGGACCCAGAAGGGCCUGCUGCAGACCCAUGAUUUAUUGGAACCGAACAACUUUUUUCCCCUACGGAAUGUCUUGUAUGACUCUGAAGUGGCCUCCUACCUUGCUGGGGGGACAUUUGGGCCCUUUUAGCUGCCUGCUUUUUAGGAUUAGUUAGAGCUGCACACGUGAUAAAACCCAGAAUAACAGAGGCAUCAACAAAAGAGAAAUAGCCCAGGCUGUCCAGGUUUGGCAGGGUAUCCAGUUCCUACCUUAUUUUAUCAUUCUACUAAUACUGGCUUCCAUCCCCAAUGUUACCUCACAACCCAAGAUGGCUGCUGGUGCUCCAGCCAUCACAUGCAUAUUUGACCAGGAAGAAGGAGUGAGGGAAAGAACAAGAGCAGACGUGCUGCCCUGCCAAGUGAAUCAGCUCCCUUUGAAAAUCUGUCCCUGGAGAUACACCAGGCACUUCUUCUCACAUCUCACUCGCCAGAGCUUUGUCCCAUGCCUCUCUCAGUGGAACAGUAGCAUUUUAGCUGCGUGUGUUUCCAGCCUGAACAAAACUGAGGGCCCAGGGAAAGAAGAUCAUGUGUGGCCAGGCCUGACUAUGGCCCCCAAGCGUCCUCUGGCAGGCCCAGAGAUGAGGACACCUGGGGAGGUGUGGGCUCACAAUCGCUGCCGGGAGAAAAGGGGCAGUGCCAGACGCAAAGCGGCGUCACCUCACAGCCUGGGUGCCCGUAUGCCCAGUGUGGUGCCAGGUGGGGUGCCCCAGCAUCGUGCCUGGACGGCAGCCUUGGUUUCUCUCUUCCUGGCUGUGCCCGGACCACGGAGCACGCGAGCAGGCAUGGGUUCAGGAGGCCACGGCGGACCCCCGGGCAGGCGGGGCGGCUCGGGUCCUUCUGUCCUCACCCUUCCCAGGGGCUCUCGUGGAGCAGGAAGGGUGUGGGCGCAUCUGCGUG